UACGGAGGAUGCGAGCGUUAUCCGGAUUUAUUGGGUUUAAAGGGUGCGUAGGCGGGAUGCCAAGUCAGCGGUAAAAAUGCGGUGCUCAACGCCGUCGAGCCGUUGAAACUGGCGUUCUUGAGUGGGCGAGAAGUAUGCGGAAUGCGUGGUGUAGCGGUGAAAUGCAUAGAUAUCACGCAGAACUCCGAUUGCGAAGGCAGCAUACCGGCGCCCUACUGACGCUGAGGCACGAAAGCGUGGGUAGCGAACAGG
rnacentral:rRNA from 1 species